UUCCGGUUGAUCCCGCCGGACCUGACUGCUAUCGGAUUGAUAUUAAGCCAUGCGAGUCAUUGUAGCAAUACAAGGCAGACGGCUCAGUAACGCGUAGUCAACCUAACCUAUGGACGGGAAUAACCUCGGGAAACUGAGAAUAAUGCCCGAUAGAACACUAUACCUGGAAUGGGUUGUGUUCCAAAUGAUUUAUCGCCGUAGGAUGGGACUGCGGCCUAUCAGUUUGUUGGUGAGGUAAUGGCCCACCAAGACUAUUACAGGUACGGGCUCUGAGAGGAGUAGCCCGGAGAUGGGUACUGAGACACGGACCCAGGCCCUAUGGGGCGCAGCAGGCGAGAAAACUUUGCAAUGUGCGAAAGCACGACAAGGUUAAUCCGAGUGGUUUCUGCUGAAGGAACCUUUUGUCAGUCCUAGAAACGCUGAUGAAUAAGGGGUGGGCAAGUUCUGGUGUCAGCCGCCGCGGUAAAACCAGCACCUCAAGUGGUCAGGAUGAUUAUUGGGGGCCCUAAAGCAUCCNGUNAGCCGNGAUCUGUAAGUUUUCGGUUAAAUCUUGUACGCUCAACGUACAGGCUGCCGGGAAUACUGCAGAUCUAGGGAGUGGGAGAGGUAGACGGUACUCGGUAGGAAGGGGUAAAAUCCUUUGAUCUAUUGAUGACCACCUGUGGCGAAGGCGGUCUACCAGAACACGUCCGACGGUGAGGGAUGAAAGCUGGGGGAGCAAACCGGAUUAGAUACCCGGGUAGUCCCAGCUGGAAACUAUGCAAACUCAGUGAUGCAUUGGCUUGAGGCCAAUGCAGUGUUGCAGGGAAGCCGUUAAGUUUGCCGCCUGGGAAGUACGUACGCAAGUAUGAAACUUAAAGGAAUUGGCGGGGGAGCACCACAAGGGGUGAAGCCUGCGGUUCAAUUGGAUUCAACGCCGGGAAGCCGAAUUCUGCAGAUAUCCAUCACACUGGCGGCCGCUCGAGCAUGCAUCUAGAGGGCCCAAUUCGCCCUAUAGUGAGUCGUAUUACAAUUCACUGGCCGUCGUUUUACAACGUCG
rnacentral:rRNA from 1 species